ACGUGCAAAGGAAUGGAACUUUGCUCAAAUUGCAACUUGUUUAAUGGAUUAUUUAUUUCGAUAAGGUAAUAAAGUUUCAAUGUUCAAUGUAAACUGCACUUGUUCACAUUUUCAAAACAAUUAAUAGUUUUUGUAAUAAAUCGUCUGAGCUGUUUUGCCUGAUUGAUUACUGGCAUUUAGGCAUUUACAGCAGCAAAUGUGAGCGAAUAACCUAGCACGUGCUAGUCGAACUAUUCCACCGAAUGGGUAACAUUUCUGUCCCAAGGACAUUGUAUGUAUAAAUAUGCAUGAAAAUUAACUCUAAAAUACAUUUUAUUAUUAAGCAAAAUGUCCUGAACAUUACUCUAACUGCAAAUUUAAAACAUAUAAUUUAAAACAUUAUUAAAAACUACUCAGAACACUUAAAAAUAGCAUUUGUUACUUGUCCCCGCUAUCUAAACCUAAACUUUAUCAUGAAAUAUAAUCAUUAAAAUCUUUCAGAAAUCUUAUUAUUUUUGCAUUGCUGUGUGACUCCAUAUACCAUCUAUUCUAAACAAAAAGAAAUUUCAUGUGAAAUCCAUAAUAUAUUAUAUAAAAUACACAUUUUAGUCUUGUCCCCAGGUUUUCACUCAGUUUUGUUACCCUCACACAUUGCCCUUUAUAAAAAAAAAAAAAACUUAGAACAUGCCACAUGCCACAUUUUCAACAGGAAGUUGCAUCAUCUGGAUCUUAUGCAGGCCAUGAGAAGACCAAAAAAGAUGGAGAGAAACCAUACUAUGCAGUUGCCACAAACACCCACCCAUGGCAAGCUGCAAGGGAAGGAGUGAAACACACCCGCAACCCUCUCCCCCCCCCACUACUAGCACACAUCUCCUUCACUGUGAUGUACUACUAGCACACAGCACAUCCCUUCAACACAGAAAUCUCACUCACACACAUGCACACGACCAUGUACACACACUCUUUCUCGCACACAUGCACACACACGGACACUCAUUCCUGUUACCCAGUGUUCAUUCCUGUUAAAAAAUGUUCAUUACUGUUACUAAAUUUAUUUAUUUUUCUAAAAAAAUAAAGUUAAACCACUGUUUUUAUCAGUUUUGUUUGGUCCAUCAUUUAUACAAUUGUUAAAUUAAUUAAAUUAUUUAAAAAAUGAUAUACCUGAGGCUUCUGUCUUCUUUUAAAUGAAAAAAAUGUUUUGCGUUUUUUAUUAAAAUACACCUUGCCUUAAAGGGUUAGUUCACUUUCCAAUUAGAAUUUCCUGAUAAUUUACUCACCCCCAUGUCAUCCAAGAGGUUUAUGUAUUUCUUUCUUCCGUCGAAAAGAAAUGAAGGUUUUUGAGGAAAACAUUCCAGGAUUUUUCUCCAUAUAGUGGACUUCAAUGGUCUCCAAACGGUUGAAGGUCAAAAUUACAGUUUCAGUGCAGCUUCAAAGGGCUUUAAACGAUACCAGACGAGGAAUAAGGGUCUUAUCUAGCGAAAAAAUCGGUCAUUUUCAAAAUAAUUUUUUUAAAUGUAUAUGCUUUAUAUAAACAAAUGAUCACCUUCAAGUGGUUCCGCCAAAACCGCACUUUCGUAUUCUUCAAAAAGCUUACGCUGUAUGUCCUACACCUUCCCUAUUCAACUUACGGAACGAACGUGGCGCCAGUUCCUUUUUUUUCCAUAAUCCUUUAAUGUAAAGUGAUUUUUUUUGUCACAAAUAUCAAUUAUUUGAACAAAUAACCAACAAUUUCUUUAAAAUAAACACUUUCUUGAGGUGAAUACAAAGGAAUUAAUUGACGUGCUUUUAAACAUGCUUUUUAGAUGGCAUAUGAGUUUUGGUAACAGGACUGAGAAAACAUGCAUCAAUGUUCUGCUUUGAAACCUUGUAAAAAAAAAAAAUUUAUAAAGUUGCCUGAGAUUGACCAAUACACAUUUUGAAUAGUUAAAUAUGUGUAGUAUUAGAUUCAGUGUUGAAAAAAUAUAAAAAAUAAAGUUUAAUUUUGAAAAGUUUCAACGAACAAAUGUCACCCAUUCGGUGGAAUGGCCCAGUCUAGUCUAAUACAAUUUAAUUUGACUCUGAUGUGUUUGGCCCUUAAAAAAAAAAAACU